rnacentral:lncRNA from 1 species
ACUCGAACAAACAUGUUAGUCCAAUUUUUAUAGAAACCAAGUUUUGAUAAUUGAAAAUUGAAAACAUAAAGAUAAAAACAAAAGUAACAUAUAGAAAAGUGAAAUAGAAAAAUGAAAAACACAUACAAAGUGACAAGGAAAAGAAGAAACAAAGNUGCAUAACAUGAGCACACCAACCAAACAACAAUUCUAAUAUGCAGAAUGAUUGAAAUGGAUUUCCUAAAUAACCUCACUCAGAUCCCUCUUGUUGCAAGAUCACUUAGUACUCUCCUAGGGUGAUGAAUACUACUUUCC